CAAUCCCACCCGGAAUUUUUGCAUUGAGAUAUGGUUUCGUCAAGUUGCCUCUAUUUGUUUUUCCCCUUGUCUACAAAAAAAAACCAUGUUUUGACUGUGUGGAGCUUGGAAAGGUCAAGUUAAAUCUCGUUCAGCCCCCCUCUCUGCCCUGGAUGCAAGAAAAAAAAUAGAACGUACACAUGUCUGUCAUCCAAAAUGGACCCUACAACCUUAUCCUCCUCACUAUUCUCACGAUCCAGGUCUGUCCACAUAGACGUUGUCUACAUAGGCAUUGUUUACAUAGGCGUUGUCUACAACAUUCCAUUUUGGCCCACUGGAUCUUGGACAAUGAGGCAUCACAAAAAAUAUGGAGGUUUUCCAUAGCGUUCUCUAUAGAAUAAAAAAAAAUAUAGAAGCAUUCCAUAGUGUUCUUCAUAAAAUUCUUGUCCUUAUGAAUAAUAUGAAAGAGUUGUAUGUAUAAUAUUGAUUAACCAACUAUCCAGCUCCAUGUUCUGGGAGCUGAAUGCCUUUGAUAAGAUCUUGACCAACCCCAUGAUAAAUGAGAUAAUCUAGGGCCUUUAUUGCCAUUUAAAAAAAAGACUUUUGUUGGAUGGACCCUAAGUGUCCCAUAUCCUAUGAUUCACAAGUACUUUUGAUAGGUAGGAAUACUGAGGCUUUGUAGAGUGUCUCAGAAGCGUAGAGGAAAAAUUUCCCAAAGUCCAUGGCCUUGAUCAUGCCUAUAUUUGAGGGUCAUUCGAUCAUGUCAUAAGAUUUCCCAAAAUUCAAUCUAAAUGAAUAGGGUGUUGAAAUCGAGGAAACAUUUGAGGGAAUUCCAUAACUUUUUCCCCUUCAAGCAAUAUCACAGAAAACCUUCCAUCCAAAUUCAACAAAAUUGAAACCCAUUUUUAAGAGUUGUUGGUGCCUCAUCCUAUAACUGAAGGCAAUGUUAGAAAAUCCAGAGAUGUUGUCGGGGCCCCGAGAAGAAUUAUCGUUUAUUUUUAAUAGCUUGCCCACCCUAAAAUUGGCUCAACCAGAGAUAGGUUCCAGCAUUUGGAAGAGCAUCGCACAUCUUGCAGUGUAUGGUGCACCCUUGGCGACCCUUGAAAAUAUGGAGGACUAAGUACCGUCCAUGCUCAGUCGUACUCAUAACCACAUCAGGUCUCCAAGGUGAAUAGCCUCUGGUCAAUAGAACAAUGUAGGUAAGGUAAGUUGGAAAAAUGGAUCCGUAACUUCAGGAAAAGGAUUGGAUCUUAGGGUUGGGCCUAGGGGUCUGCAUCCUCAACCCGUGGGCUUUCGACAAUCUGCCCAUGGGACUUUGAUUGAUUAAUGCUACCUCUUUUUGAAUGGUAGUGCAACUAAUUAAUGCUACCUCCAUUUGAAUGGUAGAGCACCACCUAUCAUUCAUGAUCCAACACAUAGUAGUCAAGAAUCCCAUCCAUUGCUAAUUGUUGGGCUCUAAAGAUGU
rfam:Picea glauca, whole genome shotgun sequence.